GCAGGGUGUAGUGAUGCACUCCUGUAAUCCCAGCCGCGUGGGGGGCUGAGACAGGAGAAUCUCAAGUUCAAAGCCAGCUUCAGCAACUGCAAGGUGCUAAGCAACUCAGUGAGACCCUGUCUCUA
rnacentral:sRNA from 1 species